CGUCAGGUAUGUCAUUGUUUUCUUCUUAUUCCUCCAUUCACUUUCCCAGGAUGUUUCCUUGUGAAAGCAACGUAGUGCGGAUUUGUCCUCAUCUCCGCUUGAAUGCCACUUCCUUUUUCGGAAACGAGAGAUCCAGUUAUGUUCAGCUGUUCUUUACUCUAGUAUCUGGGGGUAUCGCCCAGCAGAGCCCGUGGAAGGCGACGCUGCAGUUUGUGCACCAGAUGAAGCUGAUCGAGCAGUAUCCUGGCGGUCAUUCGCCCAUGCCACGGCCGAUCCCCUCCUGCCAGACCGCUGCGCGACCACUCGCAGAAGAUGCCCACGAAAUGCAAGAGCUUUGUCUCCAUAUCGGUCUAAACAGUGUUGUGAUGUACACCAUCAGCAUCCAGGACGCGCACGUGAGCAUCCUGAACGUCAAGCGAAAACUCACGAAAUGCAAGAGCUUUGUCUUCAUAUUGAUCUAAACAGUGUUGUGAUGUACACCAUCAGCAUCCAGGACGAGCACGUGGUCAUCCCGAACGUCAAGCGAAAGCAAGAAGAAUCCGCGGAAUAACGUGAAAUGCUGGACAAUGAAACAAAGUGCAUUCUCAAGGAACUGGAGAAUCCCAAAGCCUGAAAUUCGCAACGUGCUUCAUAUAGUGCUGUGAUGUACACCAUCAGCAUCCAGGACGCGCGCGUGAUCUUCCUGAACGUCAAGCGAAAUCAACAAUCCGUGGAAUAAUGGAAAACGCGGCACGGUGGUGUGCUAUAUCAAGACGCUGGAGAACACCGGAGCCUGAAAUUCGCGGCGCGCCGUCUGUAGGGCAUGCAACUGCAGAACCAUGUCGCCGCCAUCCAGGACGGUCAUGGACUACCGAAGUUUCCAACAUCGAGCGACACCUUCCAGACACCUGGAAAUAUGCAUGCUCACUUCACACCUUACGUGGAGCUCCUCUAUCCUUAAUACGGUCUGAUGCUUGGUACUUGAUACUGAUUCCUAUCUGUGCGAGUGCGGUGUUGGUUGGCCCGCGGCGCGUGCAUCGUGGCAUGGCGCUAUUACCUCACCUUAAGCCCCGAGAGUGUUGAGACGAUGUAAUGGCGCCGAGCGUCGUGUACUGAGUGCGGCUGGGGCGAUUGCUGUAAAUGCAUAUUAAAGAUUGCAGCCAUGCGGUGCAAGUAUAUUUCAAAAAUACAAUAAAUGUCUGCUGUAGUUC